UACGAAGGGGGCUAGCGUUGCUCGGAAUCACUGGGCGUAAAGGGUGCGUAGGCGGGUCUUUAAGUCAGGGGUGAAAUCCUGGAGCUCAACUCCAGAACUGCCUUUGAUACUGAAGAUCUUGAGUUCGGGAGAGGCGAGUGGAACUGCGAGUGUAGAGGUGAAAUUCGUAGAUAUUCGCAAGAACACCAGUGGCGAAGGCGGCUCACUGGCCCGAUACUGACGCUGAGGCACGAAAGCGUGGGGAGCAAGCAGG
rnacentral:rRNA from 1 species